rnacentral:rRNA from 1 species
AAUGAACGCUGGCGGCAUGCCUAAUACAUGCAAGUCGAACGAACACACGAUAAGCUUUCUCCUUUACCGGUAGCGGCGGACGGGCGAGUAACACGUGGAUCACCUACUUAUAAUACGGGGGGAAUAACGGAAAACCGCUUCUAAUACUACCUAAUACGAUCUACCGCUGGAUUCAAUAGUUCUACGCGCCUUUCGCGUCACUAUUAGAUGAUUCCGUGUCGCAUUAGCUAGUUGGUAAGGUAACGGCUCACCAAGGCAACGAUGCGUAGCUGAUCUGAGAGGAUGAUCAGCCACACUGGAACUGAGACACGGUCCAGACUCCUACGGGAGGCAGCAGUGGGGAAUAUUGGACAAUGGGCGAAAGCCUGACGCAGCAAUGCCGCGUGGGUGAUGAAGGCCUUCGGGUCGUAAAGCUCUUUUGUUGGGAAAGAAAAGAUGUAUAUGUAACUACGGACGUUUUGACGGUACCCAAUGAGAAAGCAACGGCUAACUACGUG